rnacentral:rRNA from 1 species
UCCGGUUGAUCCUGCCAGAGGUCACUGCUAUCGGUGUUCGUCUAAGCCAUGCGAGUCAUAUGUUCUUCGUGAACAUGGCAUAUUGCUCAGUAACACGUGGAUAACCUGCCCUUGGGACCGGCAUAACCCCGGGAAACUGGGGAUAAUAUCGGAUACUCCGUAUCUGCUGGAAUGCUUUACGUUUUAAACGGUUUUUUCCGCCCAAGGAUGGGUCUGCGGCCUAUCAGGUAGUAGCGGGUGUAAUGUACCUGCUAGCCUACGACGGGUACGGGUUGUGAGAGCAAGAGCCCGGAGAUGGAUUCUGAGACAAUAAUCCAGGCCCUACGGGGCGCAGCAGGCGCGAAAUCUUUACAAUGCGGGGUCACCGUGAUAAGGGGACACCGAGUGCUAGCAAGAAUUGCUGGCUGUCCAGGUGCUUAACUUGCACCUGUUAGCAAGGGCCGGGCAAGACCGGUGCCAGCCGCCGCGGUAACACCGGCGGCCCGAGUGGUGAUCGUUAUUAUUGGGUCUAAAGGGUCCGUAGCCUGUUUGGUCAGUCUUCCGGGAAAUCUGCCAGCUUAACUGGUAGUCUAUCGGUGGAUACUGCCAGACUUGGAACCGGGUGAGGUAAGAGGUACUACAGGGGUAGGAGUGAAAUCUUGUAAUCCCUGUAGGACUACCUGUGGCGAAGGCGUCUUACCAGAACGGGUUCGACGGUGAGGGACGAAAGCUGGGGGCACGAACCGGAUUAGAUACCCGGGUAGUCCCAGCUGUAAACUAUGCUCGCUAGGUGUCAGGCACGGUGCGACCGUGUUUGGUGCCGCAGGGAAGCCGUGAAGCGAGCCACCUGGGAAGUACGGCCGCAAGGCUGAAACUUAAAGGAAUUGGCGGGGGAGCACAACAACGGGUGGAGCCUGCGGUUUAAUUGGACUCAACGCCGGAAAACUCACCGGGGGCGACAGCAAUAUGUAGGUCAGGCUAAAGACCUUACCUGAAUCGCUGAGAGGAGGUGCAUGGCCGUCGCCAGUUCGUACUGUGAAGCAUCCUGUUAAGUCAGGUAACGAGCGAGAC